rnacentral:tRNA from 1 species
GCCGCCAUCGCACAAUGGAUAGUGCAACCCCCUCCUAAGGGGUAGAUGUGGGUUCGAUUCCCGCUGGCGGUACCA